AUCAAUGUGCAUCAGAUAAUGUAAUAAAAAUUGGGAGUGAUUUGAAGAAAAACAGAAUCCAAACACUCCAAAGAGAGAACACUGAAUUACAAUCAGAGAACCAGUCACUAAAGAAGCAGGUAUCAUCACAAUCACACAAACCAAAAACAAAGCCACCUACUCUCCCCCCUCAUCCCUCCUGACACUCACUCAGACUGCCUUACUAACAUGCAUUCACAUUCAAUGCUGGCCAUAAUUUAGUUAUUAUUAUUAUUAUUUAUUUUAUUUUUUUACCUUGGGAGAUAAAUUAUUAACAAUA
rnacentral:lncRNA from 1 species